UUUAAUUAAAAUUUAUAAAAUUAAUUUUUGUAGUUUAUUUUAUAUUUUAGUUUAAUUAAAGUAAUAUUUAAUUUAAUUUAUAUUUAAGUAAUUAAUUUAAUUAGAAAUAGUGUUUAUAUUUAUAGUUAAUUAGUAAAUUAAUUGAAUUUUUAAAAAAAUUAAAAAUUAUAAAUUGUUAAAAGUAAAUUUAAUUUAUUGUAUCUUGUGUAUCAGAGUUUAAUAAAAAUAAUUAAUAAAUUUAUAAAUCUCGAAAAAAAUUAAGAGAUAAAAAUUAAUUUUUGUUAAUGUUAAAUAAUUAUAAAUAAUUGAUUUUUAGGAAUGAAAAGUUAUUCGUUUUUUUUUAUAUCUAGUUUUUUAAGAAAUAAAUUUAAUUUAUAAUUUAAUUAAUUAAGUUUGUUUGUGUGAAUAUAUAAAUAAAUAUAAUUAAAUUAUUAUAUAUAUAGGGUUAAUCUUAUAUAUAAAGUUUUAUAUUUAGUUAUUAAUAUUAAAUAAAAUUAUAAAAUUGAAAUUUUUUAUUAUUUAAGUUAUUAAUUUAUUAUUUAUUAAUUAAAAUUAUUAUUUAAUUUUUAUAAAUUAAUUAUAUAUUAAAAAAUUUUUAUUAAUUUUUUUUUAAAAAUUAAUAAUGUUAAAAUUAGUAUAAUUAAAUAUAUGAUUGAAAUAAUUAAAAUAAUUAAAAUUAAUAAAUUAGGCAAAAUUUAAUUAUUUUUGAUAAAAUUAAUUUAUUUCACAUGUUUAACAAAAACAUGUCUUUUAGUUUUAAAUUUAAAGUCAAAUCUGCCCACUGAAUAAUAAAUUUGAAGGGCUGCGGAAUUUUAACUGUACGAAGGUAGCAUAAUAAUUUGUUUUUUAAUUGAAAACUGGAAUGAAUGAUUUCAUGAAAAUAAAACUGUAUAAAUUUUAAUAAUUGAAUUUAUUUUUUAUAUUAAAAAAUAUAAAUAAAUUUAAAAGACGAGAAGACCCUUUAGAUUUUAAAUUAAUUAAUUUUUAAAUUUAAUUUAAAUAUUAAAUUUUAAUUAAUUUUGAUUGGGGUGAUUUAUAAAUUUAAAAAACUUUAAUUUAUUAAUAUUUUAAAUUUAGAUUAGAGAUUAAUAUGUUGAAUUAGUAUUAUGGAUUUAAUGAUUAAAUUACCUAAGGGAUAACAGCGUUAUUUAGAUUUUUAGUUCUUAUAGAAAUUUAAGAUUGCGACCUCGAUGUUGGAUUAAAAUUUAUAUUAAAUGCAAGAGUUUAAUUAUUUAGUCUGUUCGACUAUUAAAAUUUUACAUGAUCUGAGUUCAGACCGGCGUGAGCCAGGUUGGUUUCUAUCUUUAAAUAUAUGUAACAUUUUAGUACGAAAGGAUUAAAUGUUUGGAAUAAAAAAUUUUAAUUUAAUGAUUAAUAAUAAUUAUUUUGUAAAGUGAUAAGGUUG
rnacentral:rRNA from 1 species